UGAAACUUCAGCAUAAUCUGUUCAAUGAGCCUUAAAACGUCCUAGCAAAUAAUAAAGAGUUUAAGAAGGUUGUUAAAGAGAAAGGUAAGAGUAAGGGUCCUAAAAUAUAUAACUUAAUGAAGGAGUGGGUUUAAUCGUAAUUAUAAGUAAUUAACUCAGAAUAAUAACAAGCUUAAAUAGGAACCGAGGAUAGUAACCUAUGAGAAUCUAAUGAUGUCAAGAUGGCUUGAAAAUAGAAAGUGAAAGAUAAAUACGGGAGACGCUAUGAGGAAUAUUAAUCGAGAGGUUAAUACUUAAAUUAGAAUGGAUAACGGGGUAUACUACUAGGAUGAAAGACGUAGUAAUGGAGAGAACGAAUGACGAGAGUAGAUUCUAAAAUGCAGUAACGAGUAACAAAGGAAUAUGAUGUGUACAUAUG
rnacentral:lncRNA from 1 species